ACAGGGAUUCCCUAGUACGGCGAGUGAACCGGGAAGAGCUCAAAUUUGAAAUCUGGCGUCCUCAGGGCGUCCGAGUUGUAAUCUAUAGAGGCGUUUUCCGUGCCGGACCGUGUCCAAGUUCCUUGGAACAGGAUAUCAAAGAGGGUGACAAUCCCGUACUUGACACGACGACCGGUGCUCUGUGAUACGUCUUCUACGAGUCGAGUUGUUUGGGAAUGCAGCUCAAAAUGGGUGGUGAGUUCCAUCUAAAGCUAAAUAUUGGCGAGAGACCGAUAGCGAACAAGUACCGUGAGGGAAAGAUGAAAAGCACUUUGGAAAGAGAGUUAAACAGUACGUGAAAUUGUUGAAAGGGAAACGAUUGAAGUCAGUCGUGACCGAGAGGCUCAGCCGGUUCUGCCGGUGUAUUCCCCUCGGUCGGGUCAACAUCAGUUUUGUCCGGUGGAUAAGGGCGGUAGGAAGGUGGCACCCUCGGGUGUGUUAUAGCCUGCCGUCGCAUACAUCGGGUGAGACUGAGGAACGCAGCUCGCCUUUAUGGCCGGGGUUCGCCCACGUCCGAGCUUAGGAUGUUGACAUAAUGGCUUUAAACGACCCGUCUUGAAMMMMSGGGAMMCAAAAA
rnacentral:rRNA from 1 species